rnacentral:rRNA from 1 species
AUAGCGUAUAUUAAAGUUGUUGCAGUUAAAAAGCUCGUAGUUGAAUUUCGGGAUCAAUACGUCGGUCGUGCUUCGGUACGUACUGGCGUCAUUGGUUUCUCCCUUCUGACGAACCAUGAUGUCAUUAAUUUGGUGUUAUGGGAAAUCAGGACUGUUACUUUGAAAAAAUUAGAGUGUUUAAAGCAGGCUCACGCUUGAAUACAUUAGCAUGGAAUAAUGAAAUAGGACGUUCGAUCCUAUUUUGUUGGUUUCUAGGAUCAACGUAAUGAUUAAUAGGGAUAGUUGGGGGCAUUAGUAUUCAAUUGUCAGAGGUGAAAUUCUUGGAUUUAUUGAAGACUAACUACUG